rnacentral:lncRNA from 1 species
CUUGGAAGGUCCUUGAAAAGGAGUAUCUGACAGCAUGGUUUCAUAAGCUUCUCAAUCUGAUCCAAGGUUCCUGGUCUGUGCGCCUCUUCUAUUCCUUCCAGACCACCGUAGACUGCUUUGGCAAUCUUUAAAUGGAAUCUGAACCGUCAGUGCAGAGAGACCUACUCUGAGACCACCUCUGGUUAUGAUCCACAUGUGCUACUGAAGGUGGCUGGAAUGGUGUGACAAAUGACACUGGAGAUGGUGGAAGAACCAGAAAGCUACACUGCUUUUUCAUGGUGUAAACUACUGCUGAAAAUCAUAAAGAAGAAGAAAAAAGCCCUUGAUUUGUUGUUCUGAAUAAAGUGACAUUAAGAGAACAUAUGCUUCCUUUUCACAUAUUACUUAAGAGAUUCUGACACUGUGUCCAAAGCAACUCCAUCUUCAAGGGGGAAAAAAGAAAAUCAUGCCAAAUCUGAUAGUCUUCUGAUGUGUUCCAUUAGUUGUGGAUUUCUACAAGGAUUUUUCAAACAAAAAAUUAAUUAUUAUAAACAGCAAUGGCUUUACUCAAGAUGCCACAAAUAAGGAGAUUCAGAUGGAUCACUUUACCAGCUGUCAAGGCCAAUACUUCUGUACAGUCCCUGCUCUCAACAACAGCCUCAGUGUCCUUGUGGUGGGGUGUCUUGGAAGGACUGUGCACAUCAAGCUUCACACUCCCUCUGCACUUGAGGCUCUCUCUGCUUCGAUCACUUGGAGGUGGACGUGGAAUAAAACCUCAGCUAUCAAGUUCUGACAAAUGUAUUUUAGAAUUCUGGUUUG